GCAGUUGGCGAGCGAUCAUUUGGUGGUAAGUUGCUGAUGGAAUCCCGAGGAAGUGGAGAGACUCCUGAAACGCCACUUCAGCGCCGUC
rnacentral:ribozyme from 1 species